rnacentral:rRNA from 1 species
GUAGUCCACGCUGUAAACGAUGUCAACUAGCUGCUUGUGUCUUCGUGACGUGGGUAGCGCAGCUAACGCACUAAGUUGACCGCCUGGGGAGUACGGCCGCAAGGUUAAAACUCAAAUGAAUUGACGGGGGCCCGCACAAGCGGUGGAGCAUGUGGUUUAAUUCGACGCAACGCGAAGAACCUUACCAGGUCUUGACAUCCAGUGAACUUUCCAGAGAUGGAUUGGUGCCUUCGGGAACACUGAGACAGGUGCUGCAUGGCUGUCGUCAGCUCGUGUUGUGAAAUGUUGGGUUAAGUCCCGCAACGAGCGCAACCCUUGUCCUUAGUUGCCAGCACGUAAUGGUGGGAACUCUAAGGAGACUGCUGGUGAUAAACCGGA